GCUCGGUUAGGUUAAGCGGGAAAACUAGGUAGCCGGGCCCACCAGACUUAUCCUCUAUUGCUUACGUGGCAAUAUUUAGAGGGCAAAUUUGCCAAUUAAAAUAGUGUGUAGCAUAGAGAAAUGAGCAACUGAGCUUCAACCCUCCAAACGACGCUUUUUGUAGCUGUGUCUCUAAUCCAAUAUCGAAUCCUUAAUCCCGCGAAUACUAAUAGCAGAAGCUGAAUGGCAAAACAGGAUGCGUCAGAUUCAGAACUCGAAUCAGAGAAGUUGAGCGAAACCGAAGAAGAAAAUGAAGAAGAAGGGGAGGAGGAAGUGGAGCCUGGGACUCCCACCAGGAAUGUGGCGAAGCAGGGGAUAUCGGAGUACGAAAAGCAGAGGCUAUCGAGAAUUGCGGAAAACAAAGCCAGAAUGGAGGCUUUGGGUCUCCAUAAAAUGGCCUCUUCCUUGCUGGGUUCCAAUCAGAAGUCGAAUCAACUGCGGAAAUCGAUUCAGCGUAAAGGGAAAAGCAAGGUCGCUGAUGAUGACGACGAUUAUAGGCCCAAUGAUGAUGAUGCUGCUGAAGAUAAAGACGAUGAUGAUUCUGGCGGGGACGAAGAUGAUGAGGAUUUUGUUCACAGUCGAUCUUCUUCAAAGUCUCGUAGAAACAAGGUUAAGAAUAAAUGCUCAAAACCUAAGAAGAAAGUUACUAUUCAAAAGCAUUUUAGCAGCACAGAUUACAUUGAUGAAGAAAAUGAUGAACUAACGAAGGCAAUCGCUCUCUCAUUACAAGAUUCUGCUGAAGAUGCGACCCUUAAAGAAAGAAAGAGGGAUGCUAACAUUAAAGAAGGUGCAAGGAGGAAGAACAGAAAAAAAUCGGUUAGUUUUGGGCUUGGAUUGAUGUUUUCUUGUGGGGACAUGUUCUGUUUUUCUAUUUGGUGUUCCUCCUUUGAGGUGUGCUUCUUUGUUUUCUAUUAUGGCAUCAGCAGUUCAAUAAUCGGGUGCAGAUGACUGAGGAUGAACUGGUGUUACACUUCUUUCAGUUUGAUGAAGCAGGAAGAGGGUUGCUAACAGUAAGAGAUCUACAAAGAGUAGCAACUGCACAUGAUUUUACAUGGACAGACAGGGAAUUGACUGAUAUGAUACAUUGCUUUGAUAGCGAUGGAGAUGGGAAGGUAAGUUCUUGCUUUCUGAUUUUAUUCAGUUUUCCUUAAUUUGAUCAAUUAGUUAUAAUGCAAGUAUAUUAUUACAAAAUAGCCUUAGUAAUCUAUUGGAAAAGGGUACAAAAAUGAAUACUUGUGGGAAGAUGCAAACUAAGGACUCUUCCUAAAUAGACUGGAACUUUCUGAGUGGUUUAAUUAGGAAUAUCUGACGGACCUCAAGAUAUUUUGAUUGGAAAGUUUUUUUUCAAGGAAUUUGCAUAUCUUAUUCUAUUUACUUUAAUCUAGAACUAAGGUUUGCUGGACUUUUAUCCCGUUUCUGUUUAUUACAUUAGUUUGGCCAAGCAAACCAAUUAAUAUUUCCAAGAUCAUAUCUCUCUAAGUAAUUUAUUUCUAGAGUUGAUUUACCUUUUGCGUUAAUGUGCAUCAUACCAAGCUUGCUGCCAUCUGGGCCUUCUCUUUAUUAGUUGUUUCAUCACAACUAUGUAACUGAUGACUGGUGACUAUGGUCUCCAUUCAUAUUUUUGACUAAUAUGUUUGUAUCGCUUUCAUGUUGUGUAUGGAUUUUUUUUUAAUCACUUAGUAACCUUUAUGCUUUCCUAUUGUAACUGGUUUUAAUGCAGCUAAAUCUUGACGAUUUUCGUAAGAUUGUUUGCCGUUGCAAUAUGAUACGAGGUUCUGAAAAUUAUUGAUGAUUAUAAAACCUCAAUUAACAGCAUUCAAUUUCCAGGUAUUGCAAGGAAAUGGCGUCACAUGACUUUUUUUUUUUUUUGGUUAAUAUUUUUUAUUCGUAUUUACACUUGGUGAUUGUAACUAUGGUUAUUUCUCUGGAUUGGUUUUGUCUGAAUUCUGAUGGCCAAAUGUAAAUUUAACCUGCUCCAGGAAUGUGUUGUAAUUCUGGAAUUUGACAUGGUUGUCAAGUAUUCCAAAUUUAACAUCAGGAUGUCUUUGCUUACAUUUCAAAUUAUUGUUUGACUUCUACGUUUCAUUGCUCUCUUGUAGGCAAAGCAGAUGUAGUUAGCAUUCCUGCUCGAUGGGCCUCUUGGGGCCUGAAACGAGUUAUUGAGCCAGCCUUCUUUGCCAAGUUUGAUUGUGCUAGAAGUCUCACUGUCAUCUCUUAAAUAUAGGAUCUCAUAUAGAAUGAAGCUGCCAUAUUGACAUCCGCAUUACUCUUCUAGCUCUUUUGGGUAUUCAUUAUCUAAGUUCCCUUUGUUUUUACUUUUGUGAGGUGAUUCUUCUAGGAUGGACAAGUAAAUUGAAACUGCUAUCCUUGUGUGAAUUAUUUUGAUAUUGAUUUCCCAAGAAGAAUCUUAGUACGUGAAAUGUUUUCGAAUGAUUGUUGUCUCUAUAAUCCUAUGCGGUUGAAUGUACUCUUUCCAAACAUGCAUCUAAUUUUCUCUUUCCAAAUGCUGCUCAAAGCAAUGAUUUCCAGAACCAAGAAAAGCACUUCCGAACAAAGUAUAACUUGGGUCCGCCAAGUAAAAUCAAACAACCUAACCCAAAGGCUACGGCUGAUCUGACUGUGACUCUGCGAGCAAUUCAAAAUCUUGCAUACAUAUCUGUAAAUCUACAUUGAAAAUGACUCCCUAUAAGCCAUCUUCGAGAGUUCUCACAUGGCUUAUUCAAACUUGAGACAUGAUAGCGAAGGAUAAAAAUAGCGAACAUGUACAUCUAUGGGAACAAAUGUGCAUGUG
rnacentral:misc_RNA from 1 species